AAUCAAACCGCCAUGUCCGCCAUCGCCAUUUUGUUUUGCCAAUGCUGAACAUUUGCCGGAUUGCCCGGCGGAUUUUAUUGUUUUGUUUCGUGUUUUAAACAGUGAUUGAUCAAGCUUGAUGCAAAAUCAAGUUACAAUAAUUAUCCAGUAGAUAACCAGAUCUAAGCUAUCAUGGACAACAAUCGUGAGAAGGACCGCGACCGCUCGAAGCGCGGCGACCGGCCGUCGAGGUUCUCUGACGCGACUCGAGACCGCUCCGGCGACCGCGACCAGGGCGACAGCAAGCGGCUGUUCGUCUCCAACAUACCCUACGAGUACCGGUGGACCGAGCUCAAGGACCUGUUCAAAGAAAAGGUGGGAGAUGUAGCAUAUGUGGAGUUGUUCAAUGAUGAGAACGGCAAGCCGCGGGGGUGCGGGGUGGUCGAGUUCUCCAGCGCGGAAGCCAUGAAGAAAGCCCUCUCAGUCAUGCACAGAUACGAGCUGAAUGGAAGGAAACUUGUACUAAAAGAACAGUCAGGCAAUGAAAGAGGAAGAAUAAACUCGUCACAACGAGGAGGCGGCGGUGGCGGCGGCGGCGGCGGUGGGGGCGGCAGAAACAACCGAGGAGAUGAUAAAGACUGGGGCAUGACGGUGAGCAAGCCGCGCGAGCCGGAGAACUACAACACGUACGGGCUGAGCCUGCAGUUCCUCGAGAGCAUCAACGUCAUGCCGCCGCUCUGCAAGAAGGUGUUCGUCGCCAACUUGGACUACAAGGCGGACCGCGUGAAGAUCAAGGAGAUCUUCAAGAUGGCGGGCAAGGUGCGCAACAUCGACCUCGCCGUGGACAAGGACGGCAAUAGUCGCGGGUUCGCCGUCAUAGAGUAUGAUCAUCCCGUGGAGGCUGUACAGGCGAUAUCAAUGUUCGACAAACAAAUGCUGUACGAGCGCAAGAUGACCGUCCGCAUGGACAAAGGCGUGUCAGAGAAGUCAGAAUUCCGUCUACCAGAGGGCCUGAAGAGCAUCGGUCUAGGCCUCGGACCCAACGGGGAGCCUUUAAGAGACGUGGCCAGGAAUCUACCGCAGACACAGCCAACGCAGAACCUGAGUCUAUCCAACACUGGGACAACGUUUGGGACCAGUGUGCUGGGAGCGGUGCCCAAUGCCGGGGUCUCGUUGAACGGGCUGGGCACGGGGCUCGCAGCCAACUCCUUGAACACCAACUCUGCCCUCGGCAACAGUUUGGGUCUGCAGGUGAGAAAUGCUCUAGGCCUGACCGGCCUCGGGGCGCUUCAGAACCAGCUGCUCCAACAAGGCCUGACCGCCGGAGACCUCGCCUCGGUACUGUCGCAGGCCAACGUUGGCUCCAACCUUGGCUCCAACCUCGGCCUCGCCGGGGACCUGACGGCCAACACGUUGUUGGGAAAUAGUGCGUUGACGAAUAAUGUGCUGGCUGCGAAUAACGGCAUGGGCAGUGGCCCGAUGUCCGGCAACCGGCAGAUGUCGCAGAUGCCGGCGGCGGGGCAGGGCUACGGGCGCGACGGACAGCCCGCGCGGGACAAGACCUCCGACAUGGUGUGCAUUAGCAACUUGCCGCCGACGGUGACGUGGCAGCUGAUACGGGAGAAGUUCUCCGAAUGUGGCGAGGUGAAGUUCGCGGAGAUGACCGGCCCCGACGCCGCCAUCGUGCGCUUCCAGAAGGAGUGGGACGCCGACCGCGCCAUCAAAAUGUUCGACCGCACCCGCAUCGAUGGACGGACCAUCGACGUGCGCUACUUCUGAUACCCCGCGCCCGAGAAGGUGUACCCAAUGGACUGAUCUAAAGUCUCUGGAGAUGUAAACUAUGAGACAGUCAAAUGAUAUUGACAAACACAACUGGCUAAUUUUGGAAAGAUUGCCAGAAUUCAUUUAAAUUUGGUACCAUGCUGGAUAGAUGCAAUGAUCCUUUAUUCGAGAUGACAUGCCUCGAUCUGACGGCGAAGUGGUUGAUGAAAACACGGCACGGAAAACGAUAGAUGACUGCGGCUCGAGAACACAUAAUAAUAAAAUAAAAAAUCUUGAAUAUUAUGUCGUCUUUGGAUUUAUAAAUAUUUAUAGUUGGUAAAGUAAGUAGUGGUAAGUAGUUUUUAACUAAGUAUACCAAGAAAGUAAAAUGGGAGAAAGUAAUAAAAUAGGUAUUGAAAGAUGAAUGUUUAAAUUAAUUAUGUUGUCACAGGAUAGAUAUUUAAGUACAUAAAUAUUUGUCUAUCCCAGAUUUAAAUUCGUAAAAAGCACUUUUACACAUUUCACGUUUAUCCACUACAAAACAUCACCCAGAAUCGUAGGUGUAUUCUUUGACGAGGUCAUACUUGGCCUUGGUUCUACUCUUGCUUUUUCUCUUGGUAUGAGGCGAGAGGAGAGGCGGCGGGGGCUCCAUCUCAAUGCAUGGAUAUUUGGAGUAGUACUUCUUGAGUUUUUUAUCAAUAAACUUGAAAACGGAGUCUUCACAAGCUUUAGGCGCUUCCAUUGCCGAUCUACAACCUGUAAAUCAAUGGUAAAAUUAUAAUUGUACUUAACACCGGUAAAUAAAGAAACAAUAUGAAAAUGGCGGCUAUUAUAGAGGUUAGAGCAUGGAAGUAAUAAGUACAACGUAAGUACUUUUUACUUCCAUGGGUGAGAGUUAGUCUUGUAUAAAUCCUACUUUAAAUUAAAAACUAAAAGGAUGUAGGUAUUAGGACUUCAGGGCAAUCUUACCUGAGCUUACUCUCCUAAUUUCCCCUCUGGGUGUUUCUAACGGCAAAUCCAGUUUGCGCGAUGAAGAAAGAACCCACUGUCGUCCGACCUGCAUACACACAUGAUAGCACUUAUGGAAACAGUUGCAUUAAUGUAGGAGUAGAGAUAUCUCUGAACAUAGAUAGAAUUAUUGGAUAUGGUGUUUUCCUAAUAUUAUGAUUCAUACUUAUUGCUCAGUGUUACAAAAAUACGUACCUCUUAUCAAACUGUGAUAUCAGUUAUCUUAUCAAAUAGUGCAUUAUUGAUUAUUAAUCAUUU